CACGCGUUGGAGCUCUCCCAUAUGGUCGACCUGCAGGCGGCCGCGAAUUCACUAGUGAUUAGAGUUGAUCAUGGCUCAGAUUGAACGCUGGCGGAAUGCUUUACACAUGCAAGUCGAACGGCAGCACGGGAGCUUGCUCCUGGUGGCGAGUGGCGAACGGGUGAGUAAUGCGUCGGAACGUACCGAGUAAUGGGGGAUAACGCAGCGAAAGCUGUGCUAAUACCGCAUACGCCCUGAGGGGGAAAGUGGGGGAUUCGUAAGAACCUCACGUUAUUCGAGCGGCCGACGUCUGAUUAGCUAGUUGGUGGGGUAAAGGCCUACCAAGGCGACGAUCAGUAGCGGGUCUGAGAGGAUGAUCCGUCACACUGGAACUGAGACACGGUCCAGACUCCUACGGGAGGCAGCAGUGGGGAAUUUUGGACAAUGGGGGCAACCCUGAUCCAGCCAUUCCGCGUGAGUGAAGAAGGCCUUCGGGUUGUAAAGCUCUUUCAGUUGGAACGAAACGGUACGCUCUAACAUAGCGUGCU
rnacentral:rRNA from 1 species